AGCGAACGCUGGCGGCAGGCUUAACACAUGCAAGUCGAACGCCCCGCAAGGGGAGUGGCAGACGGGUGAGUAACACGUGGGAACGUACCCUUUGGUUCGGAAUAACUUGGGGAAACUCAAGCUAAUACCGGAUAAGCCCUUAUGGGGAAAGGUUUACUGCCGAAGGAUCGGCCCGCGUCUGAUUAGCUAGUUGGUGAGGUAAUGGCUCACCAAGGCGACGUUCAGUAGCUGGUCUGAGAGGCUGAUCAGCCACACUGGGGCUGAGACACGGCCCAGACUCGUACGGGAGGCGGCAGUGGGGAAUAUUGGACAAUGGGGGCAACCUUGAUCCAGCCAUGCCGCGUGAGUGAUGAAGGCCUUAGGGUUGUAAAGCUCUUUUACCCGGGACGAUAAUGACUGUACCGGGAGAAUAAGCCCCGGCUAACUUCGUGCCAGCCGCCGCGGUAA
rnacentral:rRNA from 1 species